rnacentral:rRNA from 1 species
CCUACGGGAGGCUGCAGUGGGGAAUAUUGGACAAUGGGGGAAACCCUGAUCCAGCGACGCCGCGUGAGUGAAGAAGUAUUUCGGUACGUAAAGCUCUAUCAGCAGGGAAGAAAAUGACGGUACCUGACUAAGAAGCCCCGGCUAACUACGUGCCAGCAGCCGCGGUAAUACGUAGGGGGCAAGCGUUAUCCGGAUUUACUGGGUGGAAAGGGAGCGUAGACGGCAGCGCAAGUCUGGAGUGAAAUGCCGGGGCCCAACCCCGGAACUGCUCUGGAAACUGUGAAGCUGGAGUGCAGGAGAGGUAAGCGGAAUUCCUGGUGUAGCGGUGAAAUGCGUAGAUAUCAGGAGGAACACCGGCGGCGAAGGCGGCUUACUGGACUGUAACUGACGUUGAGGCUCGAAGGCGUGGGGAGCAAACAGGAUUAGAUACCCGUGUAGUC